GACGAACGCUGGCGGCGUGCUUAACACAUGCAAGUCGAACGAUGAAGCCGGAGCUUGCUCUGGUGAAUUAGUGGCGAACGGGUGAGUAACACGUGAGUAACCUGCCCUUGACUCUGGGAUAACUGCGGGAAACUGUAGCUAAUACCGGAUACGACCCUCGGAGGCAUCUCCUGGGGGUGGAAAGAAUUUCGGUCAAGGAUGGACUCGCGGCCUAUCAGCUAGUUGGUGAGGUAAAGGCUCACCAAGGCGACGACGGGUAGCCGGCCUGAGAGGGUGACCGGCCACACUGGGACUGAGACACGGCCCAGACUCCUACGGGAGGCAGCAGUGGGGAAUAUUGCACAAUGGGCGCAAGCCUGAUGCAGCGACGCCGCGUGAGGGAUGAAGGUCUUCGGAUUGUAAACCUCUUUCAGUAGGGACGAAGCGAAAGUGACGGUACCUAAAGAAGAAGCACCGGCUAACUACGUGCCAGCCGCCGCAGUAA
rnacentral:rRNA from 1 species